UGUAUAGAUGGACAAGAUAACUUUCGUUACGACACAAAACGCCAUUUUGUUCGAAUGUCUUUAUGCGACUCGUUUCAGAUCUAUUUGAAAAAUCGAUUGUCCUAUCGAUUAUCGAUCUUUUACGAUAGAAAUCGAGAAUACGGUAGAGGAACGAUCUAGCGAGUUGAAAGAAGACAUCGUACGUGCUGCCACGAUGGGACUAUCGUAUGUACAGAUGUGUUCGUUCGUGUAACGUAGUGGUCUAUCAAUUUCGCGGGCCUGGACGUUUACGAGGAGAUCGUAAAGGCGACGUAAUAGGCGUACAUGGUCGUAUAGACUGUCGCCGGGUGGUCAGGAAAUUCGAUCGAGCGCGAAGGGUUUUACGUAAGUCUCGAGAUCCUUCGAUCGUCCUCUAUGUCGCAGUGUUCGUUGCAAAUGUUACGCAGUGAACAUAACCUCGAAAUACAUCCUUCGAUUUCCUGCUUUUCUUCUAAUAGCAAUUGAAAAUUCGUUACAAGAAUAUGGAAUAUGAAGAAAAUUUCAGCAACAGUUUCUAAAACGAUCUACGAAGAUUAUCAAAAGAUAUCACAAGAUCAAAGCGUAUGAUUUCGCGAAAAUUUGAGAUUAUCAAAGCGUUUUAAAGACGUCCGGCCACCUGCGGAGCUUCAUCGCGAGCGUGGGCUGCUGAGUGCAAGAAGAAGGGGUGUCAAGGGUGAAGCUCUCGAGUAUGAGUAUACACGUCAACGCACAUGCGAACUGAAGAAAUUCCGUGUCAAAAUUCGCUAAUUAUAGUUCAACUAGCAACAAGACGAACGCGUUACCAUCAACGUUGACGGCCGCGACGACUCGCUUGGACUUGAACCAAUCCUGACCUUCCCUGCUGCGUCGUGACGACCUAGAAAAUUGCGUGCGUCAUAUUCGUCGCAGCGUGUCAAACGAGCCGUAUAUGUUAUAUUAUUCCACUGAAUAUCGUGACCGGAAAUAUUAAAUGACGUGAUAACUGAAAUAUAUCAUGCAAAAUUUUGAUUUGAGAUUCAAAAAAAAAAAAUCUAAUGUCUAU